GUGACCUUGGGCAAAUCACUUAACUUCUCUGGGCCUCAGUUACCUCAUCUGUAAAGCCUCCACUGUGGGGCCGGUGGCUCCGGUGGAUAGGGACCACCCCCCUUUCUCUCUGUGGCAGGGAAGAUCCAGCCCAACCGAACAGUAACUUCAAGGCUCCCAGCUCCUUUCCGCCCAAAGAUCUCAGGACACCUGCCCGUUGAGGAUCUCGUAAACCACGACCUGCUCGGCGUGCCAUCCGAGAGUCUCAUGACUGUGCACAGAGCUGCAAACAGGCUUUUUGACCUCCGUUCAGGUGAGGAUGGGACUCCCAGCUGGGAACAUCUGGGCAAGACGGCUUUCAGCCACACCCACUCAGAGAGUCACCAGAGGAGUGGGAUCUGCCUGAUUCAGUUAGGUCUAACAAAGCCGUCAUCGUCCGUAAUUAAACAGGAAUGAACCUAACACCAGGACUGAGAUUGCCAAGAUGGGUGAGUUUGAAAU
rnacentral:lncRNA from 1 species